rnacentral:rRNA from 1 species
CCAGACUCCUACGGGAGGCAGCAGUGGGGAAUAUUGGGCAAUGGGCGCAAGCCUGACCCAGCAACGCCGCGUGAAGGAAGAAGGCUUUCGGGUUGUAAACUUCUUUUCUCAGGGACGAAGAAAGUGACGGUACCUGAGGAAUAAGCCACGGCUAACUACGUGCCAGCAGCCGCGGUAAUACGUAGGUGGCAAGCGUUAUCCGGAUUUACUGGGUGUAAAGGGCGUGUAGGCGGGAAAGCAAGUCAGAUGUGAAAACCACGGGCUCAACCUGUGGCCUGCAUUUGAAACUGUUUUUCUUGAGUACUGGAGAGGCAGACGGAAUUCCUAGUGUAGCGGUGAAAUGCGUAGAUAUUAGGAGGAACACCAGUGGCGAAGGCGGCCCGCUGGACAGCAACUGACGCUGAGGCGCGAAAGCGUGGGGAGCAAACAGGAUUAGAUACCCGGGUA